AUGUUGCUUUGGUUGCAGGCAUCUCACCAUAAUGCUCCACUGCCCAACCUUUUCAUCUCAUAUGCUUUGGCCCAUAAGGCACCGUACAGAACAGCCACGCCUUACGAUGAGAAUGACACAGCAUCCGCGUACUCCAGCAAGACCGCCUAUGAUCGGAUGGAGAAAUUUAAAGGGAUGGCAAAAGAGUUGAAAGGGCCUGAGUAUGAUGUGACAACAGAGCCUCUUGACCACGCGUUGAUCAUGAUCUCUGGAGAAGGCACGAAACAUGGCAAGGAAGCAAUUGUAGGAGACAUGUUCCCGAGUUCCUCCCGUAGCUCUCUCCCUGAAUACAAAGCUCGGUUAGGUAUCUCAAAAUCUUCUACAUGUAAACGCUCGACUCCAGCUAUGGUUGAGAUGGAGCCCGGCUAG
rnacentral:rRNA from 1 species